CUAGCAUAUCAAUAAGCGGAGGAAAAGAAACCAACAGGGAUUGCCCUAGUAACGGCGAGUGAAGCGGCAACAGCUCAAAUUUGAAAUCUGGCGCAAGCCCGAGUUGUAAUUUGUAGAGGAUGUUUCUGGCGACGUGCCUUCCGAGUUCCCUGGAACGGGACGCCAUAGAGGGUGAGAGCCCCGUACGGUUGGAUGCCUAGCCUCUGUGAAACUCCUUCGACGAGUCGAGUAGUUUGGGAAUGCUGCUCUAAAUGGGAGGUAUACGUCUUCUAAAGCUAAAUACCGGCCAGAGACCGAUAGCGCACAAGUAGAGUGAUCGAAAGAUGAAAAGCACUUUGAAAAGAGGGUUAAAAAGUACGUGAAAUUGUUGAAAGGGAAGCGUUCAUGACCAGACUUGGGCAGGUUGAUCAUCCGUGGUUCUCCGCGGUGCACUCUGCCUGCCCAGGCCAGCAUCAGUUCGCCCCGGGGGAUAAAGGUUUUGGGAAUGUGGCUCCCUCGGGAGUGUUAUAGCCCACUGCGUAAUACCCUGGGGUGGACUGAGGUUCGCGCUCUGCAAGGAUGCUGGCGUAAUGGUCAUCAACGACCCGUCUUGAAACACGGACCAAGGAGUCGUCUUCGUAUGCGAGUGUUCGGGUGUCAAACCCCUACGCGUAAUGAAAGUGAACGUAGGAGAGAGCUUCGGCGCAUCUCCGACCGAUCCUGAUGUUCUCGGAUGGAUUUGAGUAAGAGCAUACGGGGCCGGACCCGAAAGAAGGUGAACUAUGCCUGUAUAGGGUGAAGCCAGAGGAAACUCUGGUGGAGGCUCGCAGCGGUUCUGACGUGCAAAUCGAUCGUCAAAUAUGGGCAUGGGGGCGAAAGACUAAUCGAACCUUCUAGUAGCUGGUUUCCGCCGAAUUUCCCCUUCAGGAAAAA
rnacentral:rRNA from 1 species